GCCAAGGUUUUCCAGAAGCCUCGCCCACUGCAUCUGUGCUCUCCUGCUCGGUGUUUCCUCCUCCAGCACCAAGCUCCGGGUGCAGCCUCCUCUCUACCUGAGAUGCGACCUCACACCUCCGUUUGCUCCAGGAGCAGCUCCAGCGGGUCCCCCUCCGCUCCUCUGCACCUGCAGCAUCCCCUCCCAGCUGGGGUGCUCCCAUUAGCAUAUUUAAGCACAAGCAUACCUGACACCACUGCUGGGAAACACAUCCAUAGAUGUAUGGAAAAACUCCUCAAGCUCAGACACUUAGAAAACCCCAAACGAGAUUCAUCUUCUGAAAAUACUCCUGCUGUGAUAACAAUGGCAGGAUCUAAUGAUAGGGAGAAAAUUGCUUCUGCCACAUUUCUGUUACCCGUUUGUUCCUGAUGUUUCUCCCCAGUAUUUGACGAUUGACGUCAUCCAAGAACCCUUACGGAAGAGGACCUGGUCGCCUGUUUGAACUGAGCUUUCUUAGGGAAGCGGAGCUUUUAAUUUACUUUAUAGAAAUAACUGCGUGUAGUACUCCUAGAAGAUGGGAAAUCUGAAACAUGAAAAUUUUCAGUAUUUCUCUUCAUAUGACUUGCAAAAAUGAACUCUUUCCUGUACUUAGAGAUCUUAAAGUUUCAUUGAUACAUUGAAAACAAAACUAACGUUUUAAAUUAUAUACACACAUGCCCAUAAACAUAUACAUACUUAACAUACGUACAUGUUUAUAUGAAAUAUCUCACAUUUGCAUGUAUAGACAUUAUUGAGCAAAAAUACCAGAAAUAGCCAAUGCUUUUGUUUUCUCAAUAAAACAAUGAAGUCCUUCAGGAACUUUCAAAGGGGUUUACUUAUGCAUAAUUUUGCAGUCACUGGCCUGCUCUAAAGAAUGGGGAACACUCAGACUUGCAAUGGACAGAAAGGAAGUGCCCAUGUAUUGCCUUUGCUGUAUUAGCCUGUGC
rnacentral:lncRNA from 10 species